rnacentral:lncRNA from 1 species
CAGAAAUCCAGCUCUGUCUCACUAUGGAGGCCAUGACUUGUAAUGGAUCAGUGGAUGGCUCACCAAUCAUCUACCUGGACUCUAUCCCAAAGAUACACGGGCAGUGAUUCAUUAGGCUCCUCACUCAUCAGUAGGGGACUGGUUGAACAAACUAUAAAAACAUGCAGUGCAGCUAUAGAGAAGAAAUGAUGGAGCCCUCUGCAUCCUGCUGUGGUGUCGUCUCUAGGAUAUGCUGGUCACCGAGAAAACCAAGCUGCAGAACAGUGUUUUGGGCCCGGUGCUGGGACAUCUCCAGGCUGCCUUCAAUUAUGAGCCAAUAAAUAUGAGAUGCGCUGCGCAACGAGCUGCUGCUUGGACCGCCAGCCCCUCCCCCACUGCGCCCCUGCCAGCCUCUGCACCAAGGAAGAUUGGAUUUUGUGUCGUUCAUUUUUUAUCUCCAGUCUAUGUCAGAUGGGGAGAUACAGGACGUGGGCAGUGGAUAAUUUUAUGCUUCCUCCACUUAUCGGGCGCAGCACUGAGAUGGGGUGUGUGAUGUCCUCAGGUCACCUACUGCCCUCAUGUGGUGAAGUCCCCCACCUCAAGCCAUUAGCACUGGGAUCCUGCUCUCUGCUGGGGCAAAAGGACAUGUGCAGAGGAAAGAGUCCUAGGCAGGAAGACGUGGGACCUGGGUUCAAGCCUUCACCCUGCUGCUGACCGGAUGUGCAACCUUGGGCAAGUGUCUGAAGACAUUC